rnacentral:lncRNA from 1 species
GUUCUGUUGUGGGUAGAUCAUCUCCACAAAGCAGCAAAUCAUCCACAUAUUGAAGCAGGACGACCUCAGGAUGGUCAGGUUGCCAUGGAUCAAGGAUAGAGCACAUGGCCUUCGCAAACUGACUUGGUGAAUUUUGUGCCCCUUGGGGAAUGACAGUCCAUGUGUACUGUUGUUUUUCAUGUGUGAAAGCAAACAGAUAUUGGCAAGUUGGAUCCAGGGGAACACUGAAGAAGGC